GGCCCCAUAGUUCAAGAAGAACGCUAAAUUGCAGCUUUAGAAGUGUAUUAUUACUAGGGCUU
rnacentral:tRNA from 1 species